rnacentral:rRNA from 1 species
AGCUCCAAUAGCGUAUAUUAAAAUUGUUGCAGUUAAAAAGCUCGUAGUUGGAUUUCUGGUUUGGCGCACUUGGCCCGUCUCGGUUACGGGAUUGUGAGCUGGUGUGCGCCUUCCAUCCUUCGAGAAAACACUUCUUCUCUUCACUGGGCGGGAGUGCUAUCUCGAUCUUUUACUUUGAAAAAAUUAGAGUGUUUAAAGCAGGCAUUUGCUAUGAAUACAUUAGCAUGGAAUAAUAAUUUAGGACUUUGGUCUUAUUUUGUUGGUUUCUAGGACUAAGGUAAUGAUUGAUAGGGACAGUUGGGGGUGCUAGUAUUCAGCGGCCAGAGGUGAAAUUCUUGGAUUCGCUGAAGACUAACUUAUGCGAAAGCAUUCACCAAGGAUGUCUUCU